rnacentral:misc_RNA from 1 species
AUGAAAUUGAAACGCCUUUCGGUCGUGCUGGCUCUUUCGGCAAGUGCACACCGUCUGGUUUCAUCCAACACCCCUUGUGCACCUUUGGCCUCGCGUUGUAAUGACACGAGGAUUCUUUACACAAACUCGUAUGUAACAGAAUGUAGAUCUAGUGCGUAAGCACGAAAUAUA